UACGUAGGUGGCAAGCGUUGUCCGGAUUUACUGGGCGUAAAGUGUGCGCAGGCGGCCGCGCAAGUCGAGUGUGAAAGCCCCGAGCUUAACUUGGGAAUUGCGCUCGAAACUACUUGGCUGGAGUGUGGCAGAGGAAGGUGGAAUUCCAGGUGUAGCGGUGAAAUGCGUAGAGAUCUGGAGGAACACCGAUGGCGAAGGCAGCCUUCUGGGCCAACACUGACGCUCAUGCACGAAAGCGUGGGGGAGCAAACAGG
rnacentral:rRNA from 1 species